rnacentral:rRNA from 1 species
GCAAGUCGAACGCGAAAGUUUUCUUCGGAACCAAGUAGAGUGGCGCACGGGUGAGUAACGCGUAGAUAACCUACCCCCAAGUCUGGGACAACCUUUCGAAAGGAGGGCUAAUACCGGAUGAUACUUUAUCUCUAAUGAGUUGAAGUUAAAAGAUUUAUCGCUCGGGGAUGGGUCUGCGUAGCAUUAGCUAGUUGGUAAGGUAACGGCUUACCAAGGCAACGAUGUUUAGCGGGUCUGAGAGGAUGAUC